CCAUCCUCCAAGGCUAAAUACUCCUGACUGACCGAUAGUGAACCAGUACCGUGAGGGAAAGGCGAAAAGAACCCCGGCGAGGGGAGUGAAAAAGAACCUGAAACCGUGUACGUACAAGCAGUGGGAGCACGCUUAGGCGUGUGACUGCGUACCUUUUGUAUAAUGGGUCAGCGACUUAUAUUCUGUAGCAAGGUUAACCGAAUAGGGGAGCCGAAGGGAAACCGAGUCUUAACUGGGCGUUAAGUUGCAGGGUAUAGACCCGAAACCCGGUGAUCUAGCCAUGGGCAGGUUGAAGGUUGGGUAACACUAACUGGAGGACCGAACCGACUAAUGUUGAAAAAUUAGCGGAUGACUUGUGGCUGGGGGUGAAAGGCCAAUCAAACCGGGAGAUAGCUGGUUCUCCCCGAAAGCUAUUUAGGUAGCGCCUCGUGAAUUCAUCUCCGGGGGUAGAGCACUGUUUCGGCAAGGGGGUCAUCCCGACUUACCAACCCGAUGCAAACUGCGAAUACCGGAGAAUGUUAUCACGGGAGACACACGGCGGGUGCUAACGUCCGUCGUGAAGAGGGAAACAACCCAGACCGCCAGCUAAGGUCCCAAAGUCAUGGUUAAGUGGGAAACGAUGUGGGAAGGCCCAGACAGCCAGGAUGUUGGCUUAGAAGCAGCCAUCAUUUAAAGAAAGCGUAAUAGCUCACUGGUCGAGUCGGCCUGCGCGGAAGAUGUAACGGGGCUAAACCAUGCACCGAAGCUGCGGCAGCGA
rnacentral:rRNA from 1 species